rnacentral:rRNA from 1 species
UGGGGAAUAUUGCACAAUGGGCGCAAGCCUGAUGCAGCCAUGCCGCGUGUAUGAAGAAGGCCUUCGGGUUGUAAAGUACUUUCAGCGAGGAGGAAGGCGUUGUGGUUAAUAACCGCAGCGAUUGACGUUACUCGCAGAAGAAGCACCGGCUAACUCCGUGCCAGCAGCCGCGGUAAUACGGAGGGUGCAAGCGUUAAUCGGAAUUACUGGGUGUAAAGCGCACGCAGGCGGUCUGUCAAGUCGGAUGUGAAAUCCCCGGGCUCAACCUGGGAACUGCAUCCGAAACUGGCAGGCUAGAGUCUUGUAGAGGGGGGUAGAAUUCCAGGUGUAGCGGUGAAAUGCGUAGAGAUCUGGAGGAAUACCGGUGGCGAAGGCGGCCCCCUGGACGAAGACUGACGCUCAGGUGCGAAAGCGUGGGGAGCAAACA